AAAAGAUGGAGGUUCUUUUGAUGAACAUGUUUGAGAAAGAGUUAAGUGACAGUGACUUUGAAGAUGAUCCUGAACAAUAUGAAGUUGCACAUCCAACACAGCUGUGUCUAGAAACUGUUGUUUAAUUUUUUUUCACUAUGAAUACCUCACCCAGAAGUUGCAUUUAAGACAUUUUCUUCCAGUUUACUCUUAUGCAGUCCAUUUAGACACUUAAAAAUUCAUUUGGUCAUUUUUAUAUACUGAUACCAGUCACUUAAUCAAUAUUGUGCUCACAAAUUCAUAUAUUAAGUAUUACUUGUGAAUUUACAGACAUUUUAGAAUGACAUUCAUUGCCUUUCACAGACUAUGUGUGAGACAUCAUUUUGAACAAGUACCAUUUUUACUCACAAAUUUUUGUAAACUAAGACCCACCAAAAAGUGGUCCAUGUAAAUGCAUCUCAAUUCCCAGAAUAUCACUUUAGAAAGCUUGGAAUUAAAGCAUUUACAGCUUUUAAAAGUUGUUUUGUGUUGUUUUUAUGACUCAGAAGUGAUUUAUCAAUAAACCAAAAGUUACGUGUAUGUGGAACAUGAUAUAAAAUGAGAAUUUGAAUAAAAUGUGUAUUUCUGCAAAACCUUAUAUACCGGUAGACAUAAAGAACAGCACAAAUCAUCAUCAACCUCACAAUGUUAAUACUUCACUUUACUUGAUAUACUUCACUUAACAACAAUAGUGAAUGUGAAUGUGAAAUUAGUUUUGUUUGAUCUCAUUUUUUGAUAGUUAAUAAGUUUUCAUUUACAAUAGAUCCAUGCACAUAAUGAAUUUAUCUUUUGGCUGUUUUCUCUGUUCACUCUGACAGUCUUGGUCACAACUGAAUUACCUGUUCAGGUGAAGGUGAACAGGUAAUUACCUCAGUUUUGAUGAUGACUUGUUAGUCAAAAGAAGGAAAAACACACCAUGAAGAGAAAUGAAGGAGCACACAAACUGCUUCAUGUGUAUGAUGAUAUUCUCAAACCCACCCUCAGGGGUGGGGGCCAGAGGCACUAACAAGUCAUCAUCAAGACUAAAGUAAUUACUUAGCUGUUGACCUUCACCUGAACAGGUAAUUUAGUGGUGACCAAGUCUGUCAGAGUGAACAGAGAAAACAGUCAACAGAUGCAUCCAUACCCUAUAAUGCUGGUUUGAGCUGUGGCAUUAUGUACAUGUAGAUGGGCAAAACAGACACAUGGAUGAACUUCAGGAUUUUAUCAUUGUCUAUUUAUUAUUAAGGGAGAUAGAUUAUGUCUGAGAUAAGAAUGGUGAAGCCCAUCCAGUUCUUUUACUGCUCCUAAAAGCAUGAUUUAUGGUUGGGGUGUAUUGGGAAAAGGCAGUGCUGAAAAGAUGGGAGACCAACAGCAUUUUGAGAUCCAGCGAGCAUUGAAAUACACUGACUUCAUGGAGGAAAAUCUACCAUUAUCUUUGGUAAAAGAUGGAAACAGCAAUGGAGCAUAUUACAUGAUGGAUGAUGAUCACAGAAAAAAUAUUCAAACAUAUCCACAUGAAGUGGGAAAUAGGCCAAAUGAAUGGAGUCUGGAUCUAAUUUCAAAACCACGAUCUCGAUCACUUUGCACCCCAUAUAACAAUUUAGCUUUUGUGCAAGAAGUGGAAAUUGAUCUAGAAGGGGAGCAGCGUUGUGAAUUACCAACAAGGCAGAGAUCCGUUUCAUUUGAUUUGGUAGAUGAAGAUCCAUCCAGAUUAAUCCGAAACACAUAUGGCCAUUGUCCUGAAAAUGAGAUGCCAAGGGGCUAUAUUAAAAUACAUAAAUCCCUUCCAAAUGGAUUUUCAUCAGCUUCCAAUCUAGAUAUUUUUUCAAAUGGUGUCAGACCUGCAUUGCAUAGAAGCUCUUCGGUUGGGUCAUUUUCACGGUUCCCUGCCCCACUGAGAAGAACUAACAGUGUUGUGUCCACCACCAGCACAUAUCCUGAGCUUACA